CCUACGGGUGGCAGCAGUAGGGAAUAUUUCUCAAUGGGGGAAACCCUGAAGCAGCAACGCCGCGUGGAGGAUGAAGGUUUUCGGAUGGUAAACUCCUCUUGUUAGAGAAGAUAAUGACGGUCUCUAACGAAUAAGCACCGGCUAACUCCGGGCCAGCAGCCGCGGUAAUACGUAGGGUGCAAGCGUUCCUUGGAAUUACUGGGCGUAAAGAGCGCGUAGGCGGGAUAGCAAGUCAGAUGUGAAAUCCUAUGGCUUAACCAUAGAACUGCAUUUGAAACUGUUAUUCUAGAGUAUGGGAGAGGUAGGUGGAAUUCUUGGUGUAGGGGUAAAAUGCGUAGAGAUCAAGAGGAAUACUCAUUGCGAAGGCGACCUGCUAGAACAUAACUGACGCUGAGGCGCGAAAGCGUGGGGAGCAAACAGGAUUAGAUACCCUAGUAGUC
rnacentral:rRNA from 1 species